rnacentral:rRNA from 1 species
GUUGUAUGGUUAAGUGACUAAGCGUACACGGUGGAUGCCUAGGCAGUCAGAGGCGAUGAAGGACGUAGUAACUUGCGAAAAGCGUAGAUAAGGCAGUAACAGCCACUUGAGUCUACGAUAUCCGAAUGGGGAAACCCAAGUGCAGCAGCACUUAUCAUUAACUGAAUUCAUAGGUUAAUGAGGCAAACCGGGGGAACUGAAACAUCUAAGUACCCCGAGGAGAAGAAAUCAACCGAGAUUCCGAAAGUAGCGGCGAGCGAAAUUGGAUUAGCCCUUAAGCUUUAUAUGCGUCAGGCGAAGGCUCUGGAAAGGGCCGCGGAACAGGGUGAUAGCCCCGUAGCCGUUAGCGCAUGUUCAGUGAAAUCGAGUAGGGCGGGACACGUGAUAUCCUGUCUGAAUAUGGGGGGACCAUCCUCCAAGGCUAAAUACUCCUGAUUGACCGAUAGUGAACCAGUACCGUGAGGGAAAGGCGAAAAGAACCCCUGUGAGGGGAGUGAAAUAGAACCUGAAACCGUGUACGUACAAGCAGUAGGAGCNNNNNNNNNNNNNNNAUGGGGUGACUGCGUACCUUUUGUAUAAUGGGUCAGCGACUUAUAUUCAGUGGCAAGGUUAACCACAUAGGGGAGCCGUAGCGAAAGCGAGUCUUAACUGGGCGUUCAGUCUCUGGAUAUAGACCCGAAACCGGGUGAUCUAGCCAUGGGCAGGUUGAAGGUUGAGUAACAUCAACUGGAGGACCGAACCGACUAAUGUUGAAAAAUUAGCGGAUGACUUGUGGCUAGGGGUGAAAGGCCAAUCAAACUCGGAGAUAGCUGGUUCUCCCCGAAAGCUAUUUAGGUAGCGCCUCGGACGAAUACUACUGGGGGUAGAGCACUGUUAAGGCUAGGGGGUCAUCCCGACUUACCAACCCUUUGCAAACUCCGAAUACCAGUAAGUACUAUCCGGGAGACACACGGCGGGUGCUAACGUCCGUCGUGAAGAGGGAAACAACCCAGACCGCCAGCUAAGGUCCCAAAGUAUUGCUAAGUGGGAAACGAUGUGGGAAGGCUUAGACAGCUAGGAUGUUGGCUUAGAAGCAGCCAUCAUUUAAAGAAAGCGUAAUAGCUCACUAGUCGAGUCGGCCUGCGCGGAAGAUGUAACGGGGCUAAGCAAUACACCGAAGCUGCGGCAAUGCGCCUUUUCUUUUAUUAGGGAAGGUCGUAUUGGGUAGGGGAGCGUUCUGUAAGCCGUUGAAGGUGAACUGUAAGGUUUGCUGGAGGUAUCAGAAGUGCGAAUGCUGACAUGAGUAACGACAAGGGGGGUGAAAAACCUCCCCGCCGGAAGACCAAGGGUUCCUGUCCAACGUUAAUCGGGGCAGGGUAAGUCGACCCCUAAGGCGAGGCUGAAGAGCGUAGUCGAUGGGAAACGGGUUAAUAUUCCCGUACUUGUUAUGAAUGCGAUGGGGGGACGGAGAAGGCUAGGUGGGCCAGGCGACGGUUGUCCUGGUUCAAGUGAGUAGGCUUGAGAGUUAGGUAAAUCCGGCUCUCUUUAAGGCUGAGACACGACGUCGAGCUGCUACGGCAGUGAAGUCAUUGAUGCCCUGCUUCCAGGAAAAGCCUCUAAGCUUCAGUUCAUAAGAAAUCGUACCCCAAACCGACACAGGUGGUCGGGUAGAGAAUACCAAGGCGCUUGAGAGAACUCGGGUGAAGGAACUAGGCAAAAUGGUACCGUAACUUCGGGAGAAGGUACGCUCUUGACGGUGAAGUCCCUUGCGGAUGGAGCUAUUGAGAGUCGCAGAUACCAGGUGGCUGCAACUGUUUAUUAAAAACACAGCACUGUGCAAAAUCGUAAGAUGACGUAUACGGUGUGACGCCUGCCCGGUGCCGGAAGGUUAAUUGAUGGGGUUAGACGCAAGUCGAAGCUCUUGAUCGAAGCCCCGGUAAACGGCGGCCGUAACUAUAACGGUCCUAAGGUAGCGAAAUUCCUUGUCGGGUAAGUUCCGACCUGCACGAAUGGCGUAAUGAUGGCCACGCUGUCUCCACCCGAGACUCAGUGAAAUUGAAAUCGCUGUGAAGAUGCAGUGUACCCGCGGCUAGACGGAAAGACCCCGUGAACCUUUACUACAGCUUGGCACUGAACAUUGACCCUACAUGUGUAGGAUAGGUGGGAGACUUUGAAGCGCAGUCGCUAGAUUGCGUGGAGUCGACCUUGAAAUACCACCCUUGUAGUGUUGAUGUUCUAACUUAGACCCGUUAUCCGGGUUGAGGACAGUGCCUGGUGGGUAGUUUGACUGGGGCGGUCUCCUCCCAAAGAGUAACGGAGGAGCACGAAGGUGGGCUAAUCACGGUUGGACAUCGUGAGGUUAGUGCAAUGGCAUAAGCCCGCUUAACUGCGAGAAUGACGGUUCGAGCAGGUGCGAAAGCAGGUCAUAGUGAUCCGGUGGUUCUGAAUGGAAGGGCCAUCGCUCAACGGAUAAAAGGUACUCCGGGGAUAACAGGCUGAUACCGCCCAAGAGUUCAUAUCGACGGCGGUGUUUGGCACCUCGAUGUCGGCUCAUCACAUCCUGGGGCUGAAGUCGGUCCCAAGGGUAUGGCUGUUCGCCAUUUAAAGUGGUACGCGAGCUGGGUUUAGAACGUCGUGAGACAGUUCGGUCCCUAUCUGCCGUGGGCGUUGGAGAAUUGAAGGGGGCUGCUCCUAGUACGAGAGGACCGGAGUGGACGAACCUCUGGUGUUCGGGUUGUCACGCCAGUGGCAUUGCCCGGUAGCUAAGUUCGGAAUUGAUAAGCGCUGAAAGCAUCUAAGCGCGAAGCGAGCCCUGAGAUGAGUUCUCCCUGGCAGUUUAACUGUCCUAAAGGGUUGUUCGAGACUAGAACGUUGAUAGGCAGGGUGUGUAAGCGUUGUGAGGCGUUGAGCUAACCUGUACUAAUAGCCCGUGAGGCUUAACCAUACAACACCGAAGGGGUUUUG